CCUACGGGUGGCAGCAGUGAGGAAUAUUGGUCAAUGGGCGCGAGCCUGAACCAGCCAAGUCGCGUGAGGGAAGACGGUCCUAUGGAUUGUAAACCUCUUUUGUCGGGGAGCAAAAGACGCCACGCGUGGCGUUCCGAGAGUACCCGAAGAAAAAGCAUCGGCAAACUCCGUGCCAGCAGCCGAGGUAAUACGGAGGAUGCGAGCUGUAUCCGGAUUUCUUGGGUUUAAAGGGUGCGCAGGCGGAAGAUAAAGUCAGCGGGAAAAUGUAGGGGCUCAACCUCUUCGAGCCGUUGAAACUGGUUUUCUUGAGUGAGCGAGAAGUAGGCGGAAUGCGUGGUGUAGCGGUGAAAUGCAUAGAUAUCACGCAGAACUCCGAUUGCGAAGGCAGCAUACCGGCGCUCAACUGACGCUCAUGCACGAAAGUGUGGGUAUCGAACAGGAUUAGAUACCCCAGUAGUC
rnacentral:rRNA from 1 species